rnacentral:rRNA from 1 species
CCUACGGGGUGCAGCAGUGAGGAAUAUUGGUCAAUGGCCGGAAGGCUGAACCAGCCAUGCCGCGUGAAGGUCAGUGCUCUAUGGGCGUUAAACUUCUUUUGUGCGGGAGCAAUAAUGGUCACGUGUGGCCAGACGAGAGUACCGUACGAAUAAGCAUCGGCUAACUCCGUGCCAGCAGCCGCGGUAAGACGGGGGAUGCAAGCGUUAUCCGGAUUUAUUGGGUUUAAAGGGUGCGUAGGCUGUGAGGUAAGUCAGCGGUGAAAUGCCCCGGCUCAACGGGGUGAAGUGCCAUUGAUACUGCCUUGCUGGAAUGCGGAUGACGUGGGAGGAAUGUGUGGUGUAGCGGUGAAAUGCAUAGAUAUCGCACAGAACACCGAUUGUGAAGGCAUCUCACGAAUCCGCGAUUGACGCUGAUGCACGAAAGCGUGGGUAUCGAACAGGAUUAGAUACCCUUGUAGUC